GAUGAACGCUGGCGGCGUGCCUAAUACAUGCAAGUCGAGCGAACAGACGAGGCUCUUGCUCCUCUCACGUUAGCGGCGGACGGGUGAGUAACACGUGGAUAACCUCCCUAUAAGACUGGGAUAACUUCGAGACACCGGCGCUAAUACCGGAUAAUAUAUUGAACCGCAUGGUUCAAUAGUGAAAUACGGUUUUUCUGUCUCUUAUAGAUGGAUCCGCGCCUCAUUAGCUAGUUGGUAGGGUAACGGCUUACUAAGGGAACGAUGCGUAGCCGACCUGAGAGGGGGAUGGGCCACAGUGGAACUGAGAGACGGCCCAGAGACCGAGGGGAGGCAGAAGCAGGGAAGGUAGCGAAAAGGGCGAAAGCCUGAAGGAGCAACGGAGGGUGAGUGAAGAAGGGCCGCGGGUCGGAAAACGGUGUUAGGAGGGAAGAACAAAUGUGUAAGUAACUAUGCAUGUCUUGAGGGUACGUAAACAGAAGGCCACGGUAACCUACGU
rnacentral:rRNA from 1 species